AUAGAGCAACGCUUCUAUACAGUUUUGAGUGAGCCCCGUUAAUCUUUCCGACCGCCAAGUUAGAGAAGAUUAUCGGGGUUUUUGCUU
rnacentral:antisense_RNA from 1 species